GUACUACUCCCUCCGUCCUAAAAUUUUUGUCUUAGAUUUUUCUAAAUACGGAUGUAUCUAGUUACUCCCUCCCUCCAAAAAAACUUGUCCCUCAAAUAAAUGUAUGUAACACCAAGUUAGUGCUAGAUACAUUCAUUUGAGGAACAAGCUUGGGACAAGCUUUUUUGAACGGAGGGAGUACAUU
rnacentral:pre_miRNA from 1 species